rnacentral:lncRNA from 1 species
AUGGGAAAGAAACCUGGAAAGUACCCUUGGCUGUGUACAUUUGAGUAAAGAGAGCACUAUAAAAUCAAAAACCAAUGAAAUGGUUUCCAGAACACAGAACUAUUAAGCUUAAGAAAAGGACAGAAGGAACUGAAGAGAGAGGAACUGUUUUGGAGCAUCACACUUCCACCUCAGAAGAAAUAAGGAAGGAAGGAGGAGGGUGUUCCCACGGCUCUUCAACCAGGCCGGCUCUUCAGCCUACAUCCCCAUCUCAUCAAGUAAAAGGGAUUUUUCAACUGGACCAACCAGAUGGUUUAACAGUGCACUCCCACACCAUUCAACUACGCAAGGGAGAUACACUUAACAUAUGCAGUCGUAUAACACCUACUAACAUUUUCAAACAUUAAACCUUUAAAAAAGAGUUCUAAAGAAAUAGAAGCUUGAAGUAUCAUCUCUCAAGUAUAUAGACACUACUUCAUGGUGUGGUAAUAUAUGCAUAUAGAAGCUAGUAAACACCUCCAGGAGAUGCAAAAGGAAUUAGAACUGCCACAAGGUGCAAGCAAAACCUUGAGGUAAUCAAUCUGCAUCCCAUUUUGGAUGAGAAUAUUUGCAACUUUGAAGGUUAUUUUAAGGACAGCAGCAGAAGAAUUAUGGCAGCUUCUUUAAAAUAUGAAGACUUCGAAGUUAUUUAUCCAAACCAACCUGAUCAUUUCUUAAGAGUGAAUAUACCUUGGAAGACGUGUCCUGCCUUUAGUAGCGUCACAAUGGAUUACAUCCUCUAUAAAGCAGUCUGGGAUAUUCUGCCCAAUCAGAGGCUAACAUCUGCCACAAGACAAAUAUGGUGCCUGCCCCCAUGGAGCUCAUAUUCGAAUGGAGAAAAUGUCAACAAGUAUCCCACGGAGUGAACACUUCAAAAGGAGAAGCACAGGUGAGAAAAUCGAAUUUGGACACCGUUGAGGAGACUAUUGCAGUCAUCCAAGCUCAAGAUGGUGGAGCUUCAUCCUUGAGAAUAACCAAUGGGGAUAGAUUUAAGAGACACUUAGAGUCUGCAGCCAACAGGGCUGAAUGAGCAGAGAGUUAUGAUUCAGAAGAUCAUCUAAAAUUGAACAGCUGCCACUACUGGCAAUAAGUCUACUGCCAUUUGGUAGAUAACCUUCUUAUCACACAGAAAAAUAUCAGUACAGACAAAUAGACCGCAAAGAAAAUGAGACCAUCAGCAAAGAAGAUAAAGAAGUUUGUACAAAGCAACUUUUUAUAAAUGGAUGGCUGUCAGGCAAAAAUAAAUUUCCUGUGGACAAGACCAAGAGCAAGGCAAGAGGAAAAUAAACAUGUUUAAACUA